rnacentral:rRNA from 1 species
AUUGAACGCUGGCGGCAUGCCUUACACAUGCAAGUCGAACGGCAGCGGACCUUCGGGUGCCGGCGAGUGGCGAACGGGUGAGUAAUAUAUCGGAACGUACCUUUCAGUGGGGGAUAACGUAGCGAAAGUUACGCUAAUACCGCAUAUUCUGUGAGCAGGAAAGCAGGGGAUCGCAAGACCUUGCGCUGAUUGAGCGGCCGAUAUCAGAUUAGCUAGUUGGUGAGGUAAAGGCUCACCAAGGCGACGAUCUGUAGCGGGUCUGAGAGGAUGAUCCGCCACACUGGAACUGAGACACGGUCCAGACUCCUACGGGAGGCAGCAGUGAGGAAUUUUGGACAAUGGGCGCAAGCCUGAUCCAGCCAUGCCGCGUGAGUGAAGAAGGCCUCGG